rnacentral:rRNA from 1 species
GACACCUUAAUCCAACAUCGAGGUCGCAAACCCUUCUUUCAAUGUGAACUCUCCAGAAAGAUUACGCUGUUAUCCCUGUGGUAACUUUUUCCGAUAAUCAGCAAUGCUGGAUCACUUGUUAGUAAACCAAAAUUCUACAAAUUAACAGAGAAGCUUUUCAUGUUCCCUAGUCACCCCAACUAAAGAUGUAAGAAUAAAUUUAAAAUCCUCUAUUCUAAUAGAAACAACCCCUUUAUUCCACACUAAAGCUCAACAGGGUCUUCUCGUCCCUCAGCUAAAUCUAAGCCUUUUCACUUAGAAGUUAAUUUUUAAAUAUUCCAGGAGAGACAGCUCAGCCCUCGUCAAACCAUUCAUACCAGCCUCCAAUUAAAAGGCAAGUGAUUGUGCUACCUUUGCACGGUCAGUGUACCGCGGCCGUUU